CGGUGUUGGAUCUAUUGGUUCUAUCGCCAUGAUCUCCCUGAGUACGAGUUUGCUGGCUCGCUUGGAUGCGGUGCCUGGAAUUCCACCAAAAAUGACAUUGACUAUCUUGGAGGUGGUCUGGAAGUCGCCUUCCUCUUCUUCGUCGUUGUGGACUUUGUUCUUGCCCUUGUCCUUUAUCUUCUGUAUUCUUCAAGGGGUGGUGGUGCGGGUAACUCUUACAUGACUCGGCGCAUGCUGUAGCAGUCUAUCGCCGAGUGUUUGCUAGUCAGGUGCCAUGGGCACUGCUUUUUG
rnacentral:lncRNA from 1 species